GCGGUUGUAGCUCAGUUGGUUAGAGCGCAGGUUUGUGGCACCUGAGGUCGGAGGUUCGAGACCCCCCCAACCGUACCA
rnacentral:tRNA from 1 species